rnacentral:rRNA from 1 species
AUUGAACGCUGGCGGCAGGCUUAACACAUGCAAGUCGAGCGGUAACAGGAGAAGCUUGCUUCUCGCUGACGAGCGGCGGACGGGUGAGUAAUACUUAGGAAUCUACCUAGUAGUGGGGAUAGCUCGGGGAAACUCGAAUUAAUACCGCAUACGACCUACGGGAGAAAGGGGGCAACUUGUUGCUCUCGCUAUUAGAUGAGCCUAAGUCGGAUUAGCUAGAUGGUGGGGUAAAGGCCUACCAUGGCGACGAUCUGUAGCUGGUCUGAGAGGAUGAUCAGCCACACCGGGACUGAGACACGGCACGGACUCCUACGGGAGGCAGCAGUGGGGAAUAUUGGACAAUGGGGGCAACCCUGAUUCAGCCAUGCCGCGUGUGUGAAGAAGGCCUUUUGGUUGUAAAGCACUUUAAGCAGUGAAGAAGACUCUAGGGUUAAUACCCUUAGACGAUGACAUUAGCUGCAGAAUAAGCACCGGCUAACUCUGUGCCAGCCGCCGCGGUAA